rnacentral:rRNA from 1 species
GUCGAGCGAACAGACGAGGAGCUUGCUCCUCUGACGUUAGCGGCGGACGGGUGAGUAACACGUGGAUAACCUACCUAUAAGACUGGGAUAACUUCGGGAAACCGGAGCUAAUACCGGAUAAUAUAUUGAACCGCAUGGUUCAAUAGUGAAAGACGGUUUUGCUGUCACUUAUAGAUGGAUCCGCGCCGCAUUAGCUAGUUGGUAAGGUAACGGCUUACCAAGGCGACGAUGCGUAGCCGACCUGAGAGGGUGAUCGGCCACACUGGAACUGAGACACGGUCCAGACUCCUACGGGAGGCGGCAGUAGGGAAUCUUCCGCAAUGGGCGAAAGCCUGACGGAGCAACGCCGCGUGAGUGAUGAAGGUCUUCGGAUCGUAAAACUCUGUUAUUAGGGAAGAACAAAUGUGUAAGUAACUAUGCACGUCUUGACGGUACCUAAUCAGAAAGCCACGGCUAACUACGUGCCAGCAGCCGCGGUAAUACGUAGGUGGCAAGCGUUAUCCGGAAUUAUUGGGCGUAAAGCGCGCGUAGGCGGUUUUUUAAGUCUGAUGUGAAAGCCCACGGCUCAACCGUGGAGGGUCAUUGGAAACUGGAAAACUUGAGUGCAGAAGAGGAAAGUGGAAUUCCAUGUGUAGCGGUGAAAUGCGCAGAGAUAUGGAGGAACACCAGUGGCGAAGGCGACUUUCUGGUCUGUAACUGACGCUGAUGUGCGAAAGCGUGGGGAUCAAACAGGAUUA